UAAGACACAAACAGAGAUUGUGCUUGAUUAUCUUUCUAGGUGUAAGAAAAUCUUGCAGAUCAAAUGUGUAAUCCCACUGCGCAUCAUAUGGAUGGACAAAGUGGAAGAAGGCGACUCCAGUGCCAAGAAGUCCUUUCUCUUGGGGUGGCCAAUGGAGAACAUCAGGGCCACCUUCCACUCUUUGGAACAAAAGGAAAAGUGGUACUCAUUCCUUGAAAGAAACAUCAAGCUAACAAAAGAGAAGGACAACCAAAAAAGCCUUGAGCUCC
rnacentral:lncRNA from 1 species